GAGGGAGGGAGAGAGGGAGAGAUGGGGAGAGGGAGGGAGUGGGAGAGAGGGAGAGAUGGGGAGAUAGAGGGAGUGGGAGAGAGGGAGAGAUGGGGAGAGAGAGGGAGUGGGAGAAAGGGAGAGAUGGGGAGAGAGAGGGAGUGGGAGAGAGGGAGAGAUGGGGAGAGAGGGAGUAGGAGAAAAUGAGAGAUGGGGAGAGAGAGGGAGUGGGAGAAAGUGAGAGAUGGGGAGAGAGAGGGGAGGGGAGAGAGGGAGAGAUGGGGAGAUAGAGGGAGUGGGAGAGAGGGAGAGAUGGGGAGAGAGGGGGAGAGAGGGAGAUGGGGAGAGAGGGAGGG
ensembl:lncRNA